rnacentral:tRNA from 1 species
UCCGAAGUAGCUCAGUUGGUUAGAGCAUCUGACUGUUAAUCAGAGGGUCGCAGGUUCAAGUCCUGCCUUCGGAG